GAUGAACGCUGGCUACAGGCUUAACACAUGCAAGUCGAGGGGAAACGACGGGGAAGCUUGCUUCCCCGGGCGUCGACCGGCGCACGGGUGAGUAACGCGUAUCCAACCUGCCUCUGACUGAGGGAUAACCCGUCGAAAGUCGGCCUAAUACCUCAUGGCAUCGUCUGCGGGCAUCCAACGACGAUUAAAGAUUUCAUCGGUCAGGGAUGGGGAUGCGUCUGAUUAGCUUGUUGGCGGGGUAACGGCCCACCAAGGCGACGAUCAGUAGGGGUUCUGAGAGGAAGGUCCCCCACAUUGGAACUGAGACACGGUCCAAACUCCUACGGGAGGCAGCAGUGAGGAAUAUUGGUCAAUGGGCGGAAGCCUGAACCAGCCAAGUAGCGUGCAGGAAGAUGGCCCUAUGGGUUGUAAACUGCUUUUAUGCGGGGAUAAAGUGAGGGACGUGUCCUUCAUUGCAGGUACCGCAUGAAUAAGGACCGGCUAAUUCCGUGCCAGCAGCCGCGGUAAUACGGAAGGUCCGGGCGUUAUCCGGAUUUAUUGGGUUUAAAGGGAGCGUAGGCCGUGGAUUAAGCGUGUUGUGAAAUGCAGGUGCUCAACGUCUGCACUGCAGCGCGAACUGGUCCACUUGAGUGUGCGCAACGCAGGCGGAAUUCGUCGUGUAGCGGUGAAACGCUUAGAUAUGACGAAGAACUCCGAUUGCGAAGGCAGCUUGCGGGAGCACAACUGACGCUGAAGCUCGAAAGUGCGGGUAUCGAACAGG
rnacentral:rRNA from 1 species